GAGCCCUCUUAAUUAUCAUUCUUCUUGUCCUUGCCAUCUAUAUGAUGACAAAGAGCAUCAUCUCUAAGGACACAAAAUGUGUAAGAGUGCAAAGAAACCGAAGGGGAGAAGACACAAACGACCCUGAUUGUUCCCCUUACGCAGUGGCUGGGAGAGAAGCUGAGCCAUACUCUAUGGUACAGCUGUCAGCCCUGGCCACGGAUCCUGCAGGCAGUGCAGAGAGAGCAGGGGGCCAGAACAUUCCCUCCAAUGAGGUCUACUCCAUAGUCAGGCUGAACUCUACCUACGAAGCCUCGUCUCCACGAAAGGACACAGACGGCUCCAGCCCCCGGCCUGAACACCUUGUCCGGGAAGGAAAACAGCCCGAGGGGACCGCAGACACAGCACGCAACGUGUAUGAGAAAGUCAAAGACGACACAGAUACGUACACAUACAUCUCUCAAUA